GACGAACGCUGGCGGCGUGCUUAACACAUGCAAGUCGAACGGAAAUGCCCUGCUUUUGUGGGGUGCGCGAGUGGCGAACGGGUGAGUAACACGUGAGUAACCUGCCCUUGACGUUGGGAUAACUGCAGGAAACUGGGGUUAAGACUGGAUAGGAGCUCCUGCUUCAUGGUGGGGGUUGGAAAGUUUCGGCGGAUGGGGAUGGACUCGCGGCUUAUCAGCUUGUUGGUGGGGUAGUGGCUUACCAAGGCUUUGACGGGUAGCGGGCCUGAGAGGGUGACCGGCCACGUUGGGACUGAGAUACGGCACAGACUCCUACGGGAGGCAGGAGUGGGGAAUAUUGCACAAUGGGAGGAAGCAUGAUGCAGCAACGCCGCGUGCGGGAUGACGGCCUUCGGGUUGUAAACCGAUUUCGCAUGUGACGAAGAGUGAGUGACGGUAAUGGGUAAAGAAGCACCGGCUAACUACGUG
rnacentral:rRNA from 1 species